UUGAGGCGCUGUAAGAUGGGCGUGCGUGCUAUUAGCUAGUUGGUGAGGUAACGGCUCACCAAGGCUACGAUAGCUAGGGGGCGUGAGAGCGUGGCCCCCCACACGGGUACUGAGACACGGACCCGACUCCUACGGGAGGCAGCAGUAAGGAAUAUUGGACAAUGGUCGGAAGACUGAUCCAGCCAUCCCGCGUGAAGGAUGACUGCCCUAUGGGUUGUAAACUUCUUUUAUAUGGGAAGAAACCCCUGGAUUUAUCUGGGGCUGACGGUACCAUAUGAAUAAGCACCGGCUAACUCCGUGCCAGCAGCCGCGGUAAUACGGAGGGUGCAAGCGUUAUCCGGAAUCACUGGGUUUAAAGGGUGCGUAGGUGGCUUGGUAAGUCAGAGGUGAAAGCCCGUCGCUCAACGACGGAAUUGCCUUUGAUACUGCCGAGCUUGAAUUAGGUUGAGGUAGGC
rnacentral:rRNA from 1 species